rnacentral:misc_RNA from 1 species
GAUGAAGAACGCAGCGAAAUGCGAUAAGUAAUGUGAAUUGCAGAAUUCAGUGAAUCAUCGAAUCUUUGAACGCAUCUUGCGCUCCUUGGUAUUCUGAGGAGCAUGCCUGUUUGAGUGUCAUUAAAUUCUCAACUACACUGACUUUGAAUUGGUGUGGCUUGGAUUUGGGGGGAAAAUUGUUGUGGGCUUUUUGUAUAGUCUGCUCCCCUGAAAUUGAUUAGCGGUACCCUUGUGGAACUGUCUACAGGUGUGAUAAUUAUCUACAUCUUAGACAUCUGCUGGAAUGCUGCUUUCUAAACCUUACUUGUAUUGACAAUCUUGACCUCAAAUCAGGUAGGACUACCCGCUGAACUUAAGCAUAUCAAUAAGCGGAGG